AUUGAACGCUGGCGGCAUGCCUUACACAUGCAAGUCGAACGGCAGCACGGGAGCUUGCUCCUGGUGGCGAGUGGCGAACGGGUGAGUAAUGCAUCGGAACGUGCCCUGAAGUGGGGGAUAACGUAGCGAAAGUUACGCUAAUACCGCAUAUUCUGUGAGCAGGAAAGCAGGGGAUCUUCGGACCUUGCGCUUUUGGAGCGGCCGAUGUCGGAUUAGCUAGUUGGUGGGUAAAGGCCCACCAAGGCGACGAUCCGUAGCGGGUCUGAGAGGAUGAUCCGCCACACUGGAACUGAGACACGGUCCAGACUCCUACGGGAGGCAGCAGUGGGGAAUUUUGGACAAUGGGCGCAAGCCUGAUCCAGCCAUGCCGCGUGAGUGAAGAAGGCC
rnacentral:rRNA from 1 species